UAUUCUGCCCUACGGGGAAGGAUGAGAAGCUUCGACUAAGGUUCGACUCGAGCGUCAGCGAGAGAACGUUGCCGCAGGCAACGGCCCGAAGGGCGAGGCGCUUUAGC
rnacentral:sRNA from 1 species